AGUGAACGCUGGCGGUAGGCCUAACACAUGCAAGUCGAACGGCAGCACAGUAAGAGCUUGCUCUUACGGGUGGCGAGUGGCGGACGGGUGAGGAAUACAUCGGAAUCUACUUUUUCGUGGGGGAUAACGUAGGGAAACUUACGCUAAUACCGCAUACGACCUACGGGUGAAAGCAGGGGAUCUUCGGACCUUGCGCGAUUGAAUGAGCCGAUGUCGGAUUAGCUAGUUGGCGGGGUAAAGGCCCACCAAGGCGACGAUCCGUAGCUGGUCUGAGAGGAUGAUCAGCCACACUGGAACUGAGAUACGGUCCAGACUCCUACGGGAGGCAGCAGUGGGGAAUAUUGGACAAUGGGCGCAAGCCUGAUCCAGCCAUACCGCGUGGGUGAAGAAGGCCUUCGGGUUGUAAAGCCCUUUUGUUGGGAAAGAAAAGCGGCAGGUUAAUACCCCGCUGUUCUGACGGUACCCAAAGAAUAAGCACCGGCUAACUUCGU
rnacentral:rRNA from 1 species